rnacentral:rRNA from 1 species
UGAGUGCUCUCAUGGAGUUAAUCCAGUAAGGUCACGGGUAGAACACCCGUUGAUAGGCGCUCGGUGGAAGUGCAGCGAUGUAUGCAGCCAAGGCGUCCUAAUAGACCGAGGGCUUGACCUCAUAUCC